AAUAAAUCUUAAUUUAAUUUUAAACUGCAAAUUUAAAAAUGAAUAAUUUUU
rnacentral:tRNA from 1 species